UACGGAGGGUGCGAGCGUUGUCCGGAAUCACUGGGCGUAAAGGGCGCGUAGGCGGCCUGAUAAGUAGGGGGUGAAAUCCUGCGGCUUAACCGCAGGGCUGCCUUCUAAACUGUCAGGCUCGAGCACAGUAGAGGCAGGUGGAAUUCCCGGUGUAGUGGUGGAAUGCGUAGAUAUCGGGAGGAACACCAGUGGCGAAGGCGGUUGCCUGGGGCUUUGCUGACGCUGAUGCGCGAAAGCGUGGGGAGCGAACAGG
rnacentral:rRNA from 1 species